rnacentral:rRNA from 1 species
CCUACGGGAGGCAGCAGUGAGGAAUAUUGGUCAAUGGCCGUAAGGCUGAACCAGCCAAGUCGCGUGAAGGAAGAAGGAUCUAUGGUUUGUAAACUUCUUUUAUAGGGGAAUAAAGGUAUCCACGUGUGGAUAUUUGCAUGUACCCUAUGAAUAAGCAUCGGCUAACUCCGUGCCAGCAGCCGCGGUAAUACGGAGGAUGCGAGCGUUAUCCGGAUUUAUUGGGUUUAAAGGGUGCGGAGGUUGUUUUUUAAGUCAGCGGUGAAAGUUUGUGGCUCAACCAUAAAAUUGCCGUUGAAACUGGAAGUCUUGAGUGUGUUUGAGGUAGGCGGAAUGCGUGGUGUAGCGGUGAAAUGCAUAGAUAUCACGCAGAACUCCGAUUGCGAAGGCAGCUUACUAAGCCAUAACUGACACUGAAGCACGAAAGCGUGGGGAUCAAACAGGAUUAGAUACCCUAGUAGUC